rnacentral:rRNA from 1 species
UACAGAGGUCUCAAGCGUUGUUCGGAUUCAUUGGGCGUAAAGGGUGCGUAGGUGGUGGGGUAAGUCGGAUGGGAAAUCCCGGGGCUCAACCCCGGAACUGCAUUCGAUACUGCCUUGCUCGAGUACUGGAGAGGAGACUGGAAUUUACGGUGUAGCAGUGAAAUGCGUAGAUAUCGUAAGGAAGACCAGUGGCGAAGGCGAGUCUCUGGACAGUUACUGACACUGAGGCACGAAGGCCAGGGGAGCAAACGGG